UGCAGUUAUGUCAAAUUCAGUGCCUUCCUAGCCCUGGCAGACCCUGUCUCAGAAGGCUACAGCAGUCACAUUGUCAUCCCUGGACCCACAAACCCCUUUAGGGCCUCAGGAAUCCAUUUGAUUACUGACACUA